AGCAAAGUCAGCUAAAAAAGCUUUCGGGCCCAUACCCCAAAUAUGAUGGUUAAAAUCCUUCCUUUGCUA
rnacentral:tRNA from 1 species